rnacentral:tRNA from 1 species
GCUUUUGUGGUGUAAUGGUCAGCACACUGAGCCGGUAAUUCAGAGGUCCGCGGUUCGAUCCCCGGCGAAGGCA